rnacentral:rRNA from 1 species
CUCCUCCCUCCAACUCCCAAGAGGAGCCUCGGGGUUUCUAGCCGCCGCCCGGCCGCUUCCCGCAAGGCGCUCCCGCGAUUUCUUUUCCCUUUCCGCCGCCGCCUCCUCCACGCAACCGCUUGCUGCUGGCCUCUACUCGGUCCUGCAAGAACCACCGGCACCGGGUUGGAUUCAUUUUCCCUGCCUGCCUGCCUGCCUUUCUUGUCCAGUUCGCCGGGAGCGAGGAAUCAAUCUUCAUCUGCCGCCGGGAGAGCUAGCUAGGAUAAUACUCCUACACAGGAGGAGGUGGAAUUUGCCUGUGAUUAUUGCAAGAUCUCGCGCCAAGAAGAGGAAGCAGCAGCAGCAGCAGGAGCAGAUUCUUCAACAAAGGAGGGAGGCGGAUCGUGGCGGCAUGGGUUCUUGCGAGGAUCUGGGGUACGGCGACGUCUACUCCGUCCCCAACCCGGCGGCUGCCCCCGCCUACGCGCUCGACUUCUCCCUCCACCACCAGCAGCAGCAGCAGCUCCGGUUCCCCCCUUCUUCAUACGGCUUCCACGGCCUUCCUGCCGCUUCCGCCGCCUAUUACCAGCCGUCUCCGCCGCAGUCGGCGCUGAUUGGCAGCACGCCGAGCCCCGUCUCCACCACCACGGAGCUGGGGAGCCCCGAGGAGGCCUCCGACGACGCCGUGCUCGCCUACAUCAACCAGUUCCUCCUCGAGGACGACGACGACGACGAGUUCUUUGCACCCGCCAGCGAGCCGGCGCGGGACUCGGCGCUCCUCGCCGUCGCUAAGCCCUUCGUCGACAUCAUCGCCGACGCCAAGCCCGCCGCGGCAACGGUGUACCAGGACAGGUCUUGGAUGGAUCCCUGCUGUGCCUUCGCAACGAUGGGAGGAGGGUCCCCUGAUAUGUUCGUCAGCAGCCGACAGAGCUCCUGUCAGUUGGUGCCCUGCGAUUCCGUGAAGGAGGAGGAGGAGUGCGCCGUCCACAAGGGCCGGAAGAACCGCCACGGCGACGACGACCUGGAGCCGGAGGACGAGAGGCGGCGCAAGCAGCUGGCGCUGUCCGAGGAGGAGACCGUCCGGGAGAUGUUCGACAAAGUGCUCCUCUGCAGCGGUGUCAACUGCAUCCUCCAGUCACCACUGCCAGCCGAAGCAGAGAUCAGCAGCGUGUACGUGAAAGGGUCAGGGAACCGGAGAGGCCGCAAGAAGGGCAAGACCGGAGUGCCCACCGUGGAGGAGGAGUCCGUCGAUCUGACAACCCUGCUCAUACACUGCGCCCAGGCCGCGGCUAUCGAUGAUCACCGCGGUUCGGGCGAGCUGCUGAAGCAGAUCAGGCGGCAUUCUUCCCCUCAUGGGGAUGCCGGGCAGAGGCUGGCGCAUUACAUUGCUAAUGGGCUCGAGGCUCGCCUUGCCGGCACCGGUAGCACCGUCUACCGCUCGCUUGUUGCACGGCGAACUUCUUCCGCUGACAUGCUGAAAAUAUUCAAGCUGUAUGGGACCGCAUGCCCGUUCAUCAGGAUGUCCAGGUUCUACUCGAAUGAAGCCAUCUUGGAUGCUGCUGCCAAGGGUGUGACAAGCGUGCACAUUGUGGACUAUGGUAUAGACUGGGGCUUCCAGUGGCCAAUCUUCUUGCAGCGGAUCUCCAAGAGAGACGGCGGCCCCCCAAGAAUACGGAUCACCGCCAUCGACUUACCGCAGCCAGGGUUCCGGCCUGCGGAGCGUUUAGAGGCGACAGGCCGGCGGUUACGUGACUACGCCAAGAUGUUUGAUGUUCCCUUUGAGUACCGUGCGAUUGCUGCCAAGUGGGAUGCCAUCCGAGUCGAAGACCUCAGGAUCGACAAGGAUGACCUUCUUAUUGUCAACUGCUUGUUCAGAAUGCGGCACAUGAUGGACGAGACGGUGGCCGAUGAGAGCCCGAGGAAGACAGUCUUGAACACGAUCAGGAAGAUGAACCCGCAUCGGUUCAUCCACGCGGUUGUCAAUGGCACCUACAACGCGCCAUUCUUCGUGACGCGCUUCAAGGAGGCUCUCUUCUAUUUCUCCUCGCUCUACGACAUGCUCGAAGCGACCGCACCGCCGGUGGAUGAGCACAGGCAGCUGAUCGAAAGGGAAUACUUCGGACGGGAGCUUCUCAACGUGGUCGCUUGCGAGGGCACGGAGAGGGUCGAGAGGCCGGAGACCUACAAGCAAUGGCAGGUAAGGAACCUCAGGGCAGGGUUCAGGCAGGUGCCUCUGCUUCAAGAGACGGUGAAAAAAGCAAGAUACAAGGUAAUCAAGAGCUAUCACAGGGAUUUCUUCGUCGACGAAGAUAACAAGUGGAUGCUGCAGGGUUGGAAGGGCAGAGUCAUCGGCGCCCUAUCCACAUGGAAACCUAGCUAGAACUUUAGAGACAUGUUGCCUGGUACAUUUCAUCACUUUUUUUUUUCUGUUCUGUUGUACUAUCUGAUAUUCUGAUGCUUAUGUUGUUGAAUUUUGACCCUUUGUUGGGAGCAGAGUUGAUGGAUAUUUUUGCUAAACUUGACUAGAACAGAAGCUUCUUGCAUAUGUUUUGUACCAAAUGAAGCAUGUGUAUUGCAAAC